CUUUUGACUACAUUAGUUUCCUAUAGUACAAGAGGAAACAUAGUACAACGGAAAUCCUCCGUUACUUUGGUACUUGGAAAGGACUGCAGGUCAGCCUCCUUCCCACUGAUUAUGGGCCCUGGUCUGGAAUGGGUUCUAUUUUGGGGAGGAAGGUACAUGCCUCCCCCUCCUGGUUUGGAUUUGAUACGUUGGGAUAUCCUUGCUUUACAUGGGGACUCUUUUAAACUUGUUAUGACUCUCCAUUGCCCUCUGUUGGUAAAAAUCGAAAGAUGCAUUGUUGGCAUAUCCAAUCAUUUUCAAAUUGCAAAUUAGGAUAUUGUAAAAACUGACAUGCUGCAUUGAUAUAUCUCUGUUUUCCAAUAGCUUGAAAAGUUGUAACUAUUUUAUAUAUGAGACAAUAUUAUGUUGCUUGUUCUUCACAUUACUUAUGUUGUUUAUAUUUUCAUGGUUGUAACCACACGUUUAAGGACUAG